GCCCGAUUAGCUCAGCUGGUUAGAGCGUCGUACUAAUAUCUCCGAUCUUGGAAAUAUGUGGUAAAUGCGAAGGUCAACAGUUCAAUCCUGUUAUUGGGCA